ACUGAGCAAAGGCUAUGGCAAUGGAUGAAUGGGCACCACACCACAAUCAACAGACAGAAGUGUUGCCUCCCAGUUGGGACACUUCUGCGGUACAGGACAUUCGACCUCAGACCUUCGGGUGACCAUCCUCCAAGGCAGACUUCAGGACAGGCAACAGCGAAAAGUAGCCAAGCAGGGGCUGAUAGCUAAGUUAGAAUCGAUCUAAAAUCAUGGCAUAGACAGAGAACACAGGGCGCUAACACCUUCGACAUAUUGUGUAACUAACCCAAUUGUUACAGUUAACCUGAGAAUGCAACUUUAAAAAAAAGGUUUUUUGAUUUACACACGGAAGAAGGAAAACUAUCAUGGUAUUCGAACAGAUGAAAGACUCAACAAUCAAGGUAAUUUUCAAUGUGUAGUUUCAGUUACAUCAUACUGUAAUUUUUUGCUAUAAAUGCUGUGCCUUACAAUUUUGUCCCCCACAAUCACCUGAAGAAGGUGCGGUUCUCUGAAAGCUACUGUGCUUCCAAUUAAACCUGUUGGACUAUAA